CCUGCAAAAAUUCACAAAUAAUUUAGCUGAACCAGCAUAAAAUUAUUAUUAAUCCUGUAAUAUGAUGAUAAAAUAUAUGCAAAUUUAUGAAUGACGACUAUACUUGUAUCAAACAAAACUAGAGUGAGCAAGUUCUAAGUAUAUAUGUUCAGGGGGAGGGAUUAUAUCAUGAAACGUCAAAAUAUUAAUAGUCCUUUUGAUUUUAUCUUUUAAAAACGUAAAUUUUUCUUAAUAAUAAUGAACAUCUAAGUUCUGAAAACUUUUGCUUAAGUAGAAACUUCUGCCAUGCAACUAUUGAGCUUGAGAAAGCAAAAUGUUCAUAUUGGCCUCAUAUUAACAGCAUUUCUCCUUUCAAUUGAUAACAAAGAAACUGCCGAAGAGCCUCUACCCACUUCCUUCCACUUAGCAACUUCUUUAACAAAUACGAGAGUAUGAUAUAGAAUUACAAAUAGGUAACAGAUUACUCAAGGAAAAUAUGCAGGAAAGUCAACUCUUGUUGAUGAAGGUUCCUACUAUAGAUACUCUAUAGUCCUUACUACUGAUAAAAUAGUCAAAUCUGGAUAUUGUAGAAGAUUCAAAGCUAUGAUGCUGAAAAGACCCGUGAUGCUGAAAAAUCAUAGGUUGAUGCCUUGAAAUAAGUUUUACAUUUUUCUGUUGCUUUGUCUUUUUUCGUAGUUGGAGAGUGUUUAUCACCUUGUUGCUGCUGUCUUGUAAACAAUUGGUAAACGUAAUGAGGUUUUGAAAGAAGUCUUCCUGGAAGUGCAGGUUUCGAGCUCAAUGCAAGUCAAAUGGAUUCUUCAAAGAACCUAUCCCACGCUUACACCUGAGAAAUUCAUACAUAAUACAUUGCAAACACAGAAAAACGAAGCAUGUCGAAAGAAAAGAUGGAUACACACGACUUUAAUUAGAUUAGAGACAAAGGAAAGAACAAAAGAAAACUCACGAAGACUCAAAUCAGACUGUGGCUCGCAAUUAUAUUGAGCAGUAUACUGCUUCAGUGUAUAAAAUGACCACCUUUUGAGCUCAGGCACAGGUUGAACAAGCUGCACAUCUUCUGAUAUCAAUUGCUUGAAAUCUUUAUCAGGCGAAGCAAUGACCACCUUCUUUCCUCUAUCUAAGACUUGGUUAGCUAGAGUAGCAAUAACAUCAUCUGC